GAUGAACGCUAGCGGCGGGCCUAAUACAUGCAAGUUGAACGAGAUUGUUGGUAGCAAUACUGACAUGAAAGUGGCGCACGGGUGCGUAACACGUAUGUAACCUACCUUUAACUGGGGCAUAGCUUCGAGAAAUCGAAAUUAAUACCCCAUAACAUUUAGAAAAGGCAUCUUUUCUUUAUCAAAGUUCCGGCGGUUAAAGAUGGACAUGCGGUGCAUUAGCUUGUUGGUGAGGUAACGGCUCACCAAGGCUACGAUGCAUAGGGGGUCUGAGAGGAUGAUCCCCCACACUGGUACUGAGACACGGACCAGACUCCUACGGGAGGCAGCAGUAGGGAAUAUUGGGCAAUGGACGAAAGUCUGACCCAGCCACGCCGCGCGAAGGAUGACUGCCCUAUGGGUUGUAAACUUCUUUUAGUAUUGGGAAGAAAAUUCCGAAACGUGUUCGGAGCUGACGGUACCAUAAGAAUAAGCAUCGGCUAACUCCGUGCCAGCAGCCGC
rnacentral:rRNA from 1 species